rnacentral:lncRNA from 1 species
CAGUCACAAGCAGUAUGGUUGGAGCCACCUAGUCCCAGGUGCCGAUUCAGCAUACAGCUUAGCAUUUGACAUCGGCCUUCGCGGGAGUGUUUACACCAAGGAAAUCGGCAAAUGCUACAGAUCAGGGCUCUUGUUCACAUUGUUUUUAAAUCUCUACCGGCACUCCAUUGACUCAUGGGCCAUGACUGUGUGUCAGGAAAUGCUGUGCUGUAACAGGUUCAGGCUCCAUCCUGCACCAGCCUCUCCUGAACCGCCUCCUCAGAGCCUCCUGGUGCAGAGCAGUGUCCCUAGAGAAAGGGCUGGAAAGUGUCCACCAAGGCCAAAUAUAAGUGCCACUGACGGACACAAACCACAUAUCUAGAAUUCUAUCUGCUGCCUCAAAUUGUAGUCCCUUGCACUGUCCCAGCUCUUGGCCAUUCCCCAGAAAGGUGCUGGGUCUGUAAAGCGAUUCCACACCUGCCCAGCACAGAUGAGCAGAAGGGAAGCAGUGAGAAAGGGCUGUGACCUACAAAGGGAGAAUUUUAAAACCCUGCCUUGGUGAACAGGGAAGACAAAGAAGGCAAACUGGACAUGGCCAUCAAAGAGCUGUAUGGAAAGGAAUAUUCAUUCUCCAGGGGUCUGGACUGCAGGAUUCAAGUCCCAGGUCUUCUGCUCAGAGGCUUGCAACUGUGGAUGCAUGGCGGGUCCGAGGACUCGAUAGCAAGACUGCUGUGCACUGCAAGGCUUCUGUAGCCGCCAAGGGGGAACUGAGGCACAGAGAUAUGGAACAAGUUGCCAAACAUUCUACACAGUGAGGCUGUGACAGCUGAAACUCCGGCCUGGGCUGCCCAGCCAACUCCUUGUGAGAAAAAGGGACCAGGAUCAUACUUUCUGAGCUUGGGGACUCUAGCCAAGAUGGCCGAAUAGGAACAGCUCCAGUCUACAGCUCCCAGCGUCAGCGACGCAGAAGACGAAUGAUUUCUGCAUUUUCAACUGAGGUACCAGGUUAAUCUCACUGGGGAUUGUCGGACAGUGGGUGCAGGACAGUGGGUGCAGCGCACCGAGUGUAAGCCGAAGCAGGGCAAGGCAUGACCUCACCUGGGAAGUGCAAGGGGUCAGGGAAUUCCCUUUCCAAACCAAGGAAAGGGGUGACAGACAGCACCUGGAAAAUUGGGUCACUCCCACCCUAAUACUGCGCUUUUCCAAUGGUCUUAGCAAAUGGUACCCCAGGAGAUUAUAUCCCACGCCUCGCUCGGAGGGUCCUACACCCAUGGAGCCUCGCUCAUUGCUAGCACAGCAGUCUGAGAUCAAACUGCAAGGCGGCAGCGAGGCUGGGGGAGGGGCGCCCGCCAUUGCUGAGGCUUGAGUAGGUAAACAAAGCCGCUGGGAAGCUCGAACUGGGAGGAGCCCACUGCAGCUCAAGGAGGCCUCCCUGCCUCUGUAGACUCCAUAUUAUCUGAGCUUGAGCACAGGAAGCUCACAGCAUUUGGGAGUACCUCAGACGUCUCCCCAAAAAGUGGUAGGAAGGUCAAGGGAGAAAAAAAUAAUUUAAAUGUCCUUUUUGAGACAGCAUUGUAUUUUCACCUGGUUGGCACCCUUUUGCAGGGCUUCCUUAGCAUGUUGUACAGUUUAUCUACAUUUUGUUUAUGACUAACAUCCUCUCAAAGAAAUGAACGUGUGUCAACUUAUUUGGCCAGAAACACAAAUUUGCAUGACAACAUAAACACAGAAAGCAAGAGAGGGUAUUGGCAGAUGGAAGGCAAGGGAAUUGAAUUUUACAAUUUUUUUUUUUUGAGACAGUCUUGCUCUGUCGCCCAGGCUGGAGUGCAGUGGCGCAGUCUAGGCUCACUGCAAGCUCCGCCUCCCAGGUUCACGCCAUUCUCCUGCCUCAGCCUCCCAAGUAGCU